UACAGAGGGGGCAAGCGUUGUUCGGAAUUAUUGGGCGUAAAGGGCGCGUAGGCGGUUUGUUAAGUCGGGGGUGAAAUCCUGGAGCUCAACUCCAGAACUGCCUUCGAUACUGGCGAGCUCGAGUUCGGGAGAGGUGAGUGGAACUGCGAGUGUAGAGGUGAAAUUCGUAGAUAUUCGCAAGAACACCAGUGGCGAAGGCGGCUCACUGGCCCGAUACUGACGCUGAGGUGCGAAAGCGUGGGGAGCAAACAGG
rnacentral:rRNA from 1 species